GAUGAACGCUGGCGGCGUGCCUAAUACAUGCAAGUCGAGCGAACGGACGAGGAGCUUGCUUCUCUGAUGUUAGCGGCGGACGGGUGAGUAACACGUGGAUAACCUACCUAUAAGACUGGGAUAACUUCGGGAAACCGGAGCUAAUACCGGAUAAUAUUUUGAACCGCAUGGUUCAAAAGUGAAAGACGGUCUUGCUGUCACUUAUAGAUGGAUCCGCGCUGCAUUAGCUAGUUGGCAAGGUAACGGCUUACCAAGGCAACGAUGCAUAGCCGACCUGAGAGGGUGAUCGGCCACACUGGAACUGAGACACGGUCCAGACUCCUACGGGAGGCAGCAGUAGGGAAUCUUCCGCAAUGGGCGAAAGCCUGACGGAGCAACGCCGCGUGAGUGAUGAAGGUCUUCGGAUCGUAAAACUCUGUUAUUAGGGAAGAACAUAUGUGUAAGUAACUGUGCACAUCUUGACGGUACCUAAUCAGAAAGCCACGGCUAACUACGUG
rnacentral:rRNA from 1 species